UUUCAUGAGAGUUUGAUCCUGGCUCAGGAUUAACGCUGGCGGCGUGCAUAACACAUGCAAGUCGAACGAUGAAACUUAAAUGAUUUCUUCGGAAUGAACUUAAGUGGAUUAGUGGCGGACGGG
rnacentral:rRNA from 1 species